rfam:Picea glauca, whole genome shotgun sequence.
UUGGUUGAUCCUGCCAGUGGUCAUAUGAUUGUCUCAAAGAUUAAGCCAUGCAUGUCUAACUAUCGACUAAUUCAAACUAUGAAACUAUGGAUGGCUUAUUAAAUGGUUACAAUUUCAUUUAUGGUACCAUCUUACUACUUGGAUACCCAUAGUAAUUCUAGAACUAAUAUAUGCGCCAAGUCCUAACUCUUUGAAAGGGAUGAAUUCAUUAGAUAAAAAACUAGUGUAGGUUUGUAGCAUCCUUCUUCUAUGUAUCAUGAUAACUUAGUGGAUCGUGCAACCCUUGUGGUAGUGAUUCCUCAUUCAAAUUUAUGUCAUAUCGAAUUUUAGUAGUAGGAUAGAGGCCUGCCAUGGUGUUUGAUUUGGGGAGGCAGCCUAGGAAAUGAAUACCAUAUCCAAGGAAGGUGGAAAGCAGGUAAAAUACCCAAUCUUGACUUGGGAAGGUAAUACAUAUCUCUUGUGUGUGCUUGCCAAAGGUGGUUCAUCCCACUUAACCUCAUGCACUCCCAAGGGUUGAUUAUACACA